rnacentral:sRNA from 1 species
AUGCAAAAAAUUAGAUUUACAGUCAAACAUCAUUAUCUCGAAUUAGAUGGGACUGGUUAAAAUCUUCGAGAUAUCCAAGUAUUCAAGAUAUCAAGGGAAAAAUACUUAAAGUUUAAGUGUUUGGGACUUAAAAAAAAUCACUUUGACAUAUCAAUUGUAUUCAAGAUACCAGUGUUCGAGAUACCGAAGUUAAACUGUAUUUUAAUUUACAAAAUGUCAAAUAAUAGAUUAUUAAAUUAUCAAUAUUGUAUAUUCCAGUGUCUUAAUUCCAAUUCCAAGGCUUAAAAGGGCAUUGUUAUAAUUUUUGUUUUGCCAUUUAUAUUUUUAAUAGAAUUUUUUCUAGGGGUAUUCCUAAUGGGUAACCACAAUUUGAAUAUCUGUUUUAGGUAGGACAUAGAGCUCACAAUUCUAUGUUAUGGUAACAUUGUAAUAUCCUUUCAUCUCAGAUUUUUUCAUGCAUAUGGUAAUUUUAAAAUUUAAAUUCCAAAUGCUCAAUUACUGUAUUUUAAUAUGCACAGCUUAGCUAAUGCAUUUAUUGAUAUUGUUGCAUUAAAGACAAUGAUUGAGGUUUAGCGCCUUAUGUUCGAAUCUGUAAAAAAUAAAAUUCUGAAUUACAUGAUGUUGUAUUUGUUAACUGGUACCAGUAUUGGGUGCCAUUUCAACCUUUAUAAUCACUAUGUCAUGUUUCUGUAAAACUUCCCCAUUUAGAAGCAUUCAGAGGAAAUGAAAAUUUAGUUCUUUAUAGUCAAAAGCUAUUAAAGAAAAAGUUACAAUUUGAGAUACAAGGAAUUGUCUUACAAAAAUUACGAAAUAUAAAAGUAUAUAUUAAUAUGCUUAAAAAGCCAUUCUUAUGAAUAAUGGCUAUGAUUCAACUGAGUGAUCUUUGAUCAUGAUUUAAAUUGUAAUGUAAACUCAUUUGCACUGAAGCAAAAUCUCAUAUACAUUGUAUUCACAUGUAUAUAACAAGAACUUCAAGGCAAUAGACUGAUAAAUACAAUCAAUGAAGGAAUAAUCAACCUUUAAAGGUGUUUGUAACAUUCAUAGGAGGCUCACCUGGUCUUCAUAACUGUCUGUUCAGAUAUUUAAAGAUCUUUCUGUCAUUAUAUAUUUUUUCUUGAAAAUAAAAAAUAUUUUUUUUAUUUAGU